UGACCUGAACGGAAAUCAAGAGUUGGACGCCUAACCGAUUGUAAAAUUAGCUCUGGCUCAGCAAGACUCCAGCUGGGAACCUGUUGUAUCAUUAUCUUCACUCCAUGGAUGAUAUUUGACUGGCCAGCGGAGUGGACAGACAGGAGGUGCAUUUUACUAAAUCUUCUGAUUUCCCUUUCGUCCACUGAAGUCUGAGGAGAUUGGAAAGAAGAAGAGGGUGGAAUGGAUUGAAGCAGGACUGAGACUGCCAACUGAAUAAAAACUAAAUUACCUGAGGAAAAAGCGAAGCCAUGUUCAAAACUGGGUAUAGAAGCCUUUCGUGUCAUAAUAUUAUAACAAUAUUUAUAAGUUUCCCAGAGUAGAGAAUUAGUGUCUGGUACUAUAUGAGGGCUCUACAUUUGACGUUGACUGAACCCUCCCCUCAGCCCUACCGGGAAUGCAUCAGAGCCACCAUUUACAGAUGAGGAGACCGAGAAAGUCACACAGCUGAGUGGCAGAGAUAAGAUUCAAACCAGGUUUCUCUGAUGUUACAGCUGACUCUCUUUUUAUCCUAUGCUAUGCUCUCGCUAUGAGAAUCAUGUUUGAACACUGUUGCUGGGCAUAAAAAACCUUACAACAUUUUUGUAAUAUAAUUUGUAAGUCAAAAUUAAAUAAAUUCAUUGAACUGGCAAUUCUACUUAGGGUUAUCUAGCCUAAAAAUUACUUGAAUAAGCACUAAGCACUUUUUCUAAUACUGUCAAUUUUCCAUCGAUAAGAACUUCCUUAAAUAAGUAAUGGUAUGUUCAUAGAAGAGAAUACUACACAGACAUUAAAAAGUGAGAAAAAUCUGAAUGGAAAUAUAGAAGAGGGACACCGGGGUGGCUCAGUCAGUUGAGCGUCUGCCUUGGGCUCAGGUCAUGGUCC